rnacentral:rRNA from 1 species
AUGCAGCUAGAACAAAAGAAAGCAAGAGUAGAACAAAGAAAAGCUCGCCGUCAAAUGGAACGCAACACACCAUCCAAAGAUUCGCUUGCAAUGGAGAACCCUGAAUAUGUCGCAACCGAACAAGAGGUUAGUACUUCUACAUUUGCUGUAAAACACAGGGAUCAUGUGGCAGCAGGAAAAAGGCAAACAUUGCUACACCAUCGUAAUGAACAAUUCAUAAGAAGAUGGAGGCAAACUGUUUCCAUAUCAUCAAAAGAAGAUGCAUCCAUGACAGAAAACACCGACGAAAACAAAGAACCUCUGGAGCAACCACAAGUCAUGACUUACGGUAAUAAUCUCAAGUUUAUAUAA